rnacentral:lncRNA from 1 species
GUACUGGGAGGAACAGACCCUGCUACACUGUACUGGUACUGAGAGGGAGGGAGGAACAGACCCUGCUACACUCUACUGGUACUGGGAGGGAGGGAGGAACAGACCCUGCUACACUGUACUGGUACUGAGAGGGAGGGAGGAACAGACCCUGCUACACUCUACUGGUACUGAGAGGGAGGGAGGAACAGACCCUGCUACACUCUACUGGUACUGGGAGGGAGGGAGGAACGGACCCUGCUACACUCUACUGGUACUGUGAGGGAGGGAGGAACGGACCCUGCUACACUCUACUGGUACUGGGAGGGAGGGAGGAACAGACCCUGCUACACUCUACUGGUACUGGGAGGGAGGGAGGAACAGACCCUGCUACACUCUACUGGUACUGGGAGGGAGGGAGGAACAGACCCUGCUACACUCUACUGGUACUGGGAGGGAGGGAGGAACAGACCCUGCUACACUCUACUGGUACUGGGAGGGAGGGAGGGAGGAACAGACCCUGCUACACUCUACUGGUACUGAGAGGGAGGGAGGAACAGACCCUGCUACAAUCUACUGGUACAGGGAUGGAGGGAGGAACAGACCCUGCUACACUCUACUGAUACUGAGAGGGAGGAACAGACCCUGCUACACUCUACUGGUACUGGGAGGGAGGGAGGAACAGACCCUGCUACACUCUACGGGUACAUGGAGGGAGGGAGGAACAGACCCUGCUACACUCUACUGGUACUGGGAGGGAGGGAGGAACAGACCCUGCUACACUCUACUGGUACAGGGAGGGAGGAACAGACCCUGCUACACUCUACUGGUACUGAGAGGGAGGAACAGACCCUGCUACACUCUACUGGUACUGAGAGGGAGGGAGGAACAGACCCUGCUACACUCUACUGGUACUGGGAGGGAGGGAGGAACAGACCCUGCUACACUCUACUGGUACAGGGAGGGAGGGAGGAACAGACCCUGCUACACUCUACUGAUACUGAGAGGGAGGAACAGACCCUGCUACACUCUACUGGUACUGGGAGGGAGGGAGGAACAGACCCUGCUAUACUCUACUGGUACUGGGAGGGAGGGAGGAACAGACCCUGCUACACUCUACUGGUACUGGGAGGAACAGACCCUGCUACACUGUACUGGUACUGAGAGGGAGGAACAGACCCUGCUACACUGUACUGGUACUGAGAGGGAGGGAGGAACAGACCCUGCUACAUUCUAC